AAAAAAAAAAAUGUCCCAAACGCACGAGGAUUGAUUUAUCAUCGCAGCCGGAGUGGAAUGGGAAGAAGCCAUCGCUGCUCGCCUGCUCCCCACGACAGCUCGCCCGCCAUUCGCUUAAUUAAAAUCAUAUAUUGGUGUGAUCAGACGUGGUAAUACCAUUAAAAAAACCCAAAUCCCGUAACAUCCACACGCUCGUUGUUGGAGGCUGUAGCCCAGUGCUGGAAUCUGCAUUGGCAGGUGUGCAAAUGUGGAGACUGUAAAAGCAGCAAGUGAGGAUGGAUGAGCUGUUUUCUGGGGUCAUAUCCAACUCCAGAGAAGAAACCCUGGUGAUUUAUAAUUUUUUUCUUGUCUCUGCCUGGAUGGCCACAGUCCUGUCUAGUGAUGAAAGCCCUGUGUUUGGGGAGAACCCUUGUGAGGUGAGCAGACACAGCUCUCUGGCACAGGAGUUUGGGAGCAAGGGGAAGCAGGACAGAAGCUGGCACUGUGAUAUUCCUGUGAUUUUUUAUUUUUUCCAGCAGGCUAAAAAAAGGGUGUUCUUUUUAAUAUUUCUUUCUACCACACCAUAAGCAAGAGUAACUCUUUUGCAAUGCUUUGUUGUCACGUAGGUUUUGGUAACGUGGCUUAACCAUCACACUGGGUUCUGCUGCUGAAGAACCCUCUUUUUUAGAAGGAAUUUUAAAAAUAGAAAUGUGCUUUUAUAUAGAGAUAAAAGUGGGUUCAAUGUCAACUGAAGGCCAGGGGCCCCUGUAUCCUGGGCUGUGGGAUGUGACUGUGUUAAACCACUGGCUAAAAUGGUGGCAUUUGGUGGCAGCUCCUGUCCCUGGCAUCGUGGAUAAGAACACCACAGGGAAGAGAGUCAGAAAAUAAAUUACUAAAUGUUGCAUUUCA
rnacentral:lncRNA from 1 species